UCCAGGUAAAUAAACAAUUUCGAAUGUAUCAUACGGUACUUAAAUGAAGUGAUUCAAACUUCAAAGCGGUUGUACGGUAGGAAUAUUCAACCACAAAAUAUGUUUUAGAAAAUGUUGAAAAUGACUUCCGGGUCUGUAGUGAAUCCUCUUACUCACUCCGCUACGCUGUGAGAUAACAAUGAAGGUGACUCUAUACACCCACAGUUUAUUCAGAUUUUCAAUAGAAGACUACAAAACAUAUACUUAUCAGGGUUUCUUCUAAUAAACCACUGCUAACCGACCUAGGAAAGUGGAUCAAG